CACAGUUACCACGAGCAGCAGCGUUUGGUGUUUGCUGCUUGAAGCAGUUGGAAAACUUUGACUUUAAGCACUUUUGGUUAUUUAUACAGUGCUAUAUUUAACUUCACACGGUGGAAGACGCCGUCAGAGGAAGUAUUUCAGAGGUAAGCGUGCCCACAGAGGUAUCGGUCUCUCAGGAUGGCUGACCGAGGGACCCCCCAGCCUGCCCGUUCAUCUUCCAGCAUGUCCAUGCAGUCCGAUUCAGGGAAAGGUCACUCCAAGAGCAAACUCAUUUCCUCCACACCGGUCCCCAGUGAAGUCUCUCUAGAAGUGCCAGAGGUUGCAGUUGAGAAAGAGAAGCCUGUCUCAAAGGUGGAUGUUUCAGCAGAGGAAGCAGAUUCCUACACGGAACGGCUGGUCUUGUUUGGGCCCCGUUCACGUCUUAGACCUCAUCAUCGAUCACACAGAUCGGAGGAUGGCAUCAAGCUCAUGCAUACGCAUGAUGAGGUUUUUGGCUUAAACAAGAUAGAUAACCUCUGGUCUCAAAUGAUGGCUGAUGCAAAUAGCACGGGAGGAAGAAAUGACUGAGAAAGUGAGGGGCGAGUGGGCAGAGCCAGUCAGCGAACUUGCAGCAUCUCUGUCCUUUCAUCAAUGAGGUUAAUAGAAUUAAUUACAGCCCUCUGGCUGGAAAAAGGCAAUGGCAUUUACAUGCAGUGGCUCAGUGUGCCCGCCCCUGCUGGGAGAUCCUGUAGAAAAAGCAGCUGGUGAGCUGGUUGUAAUGACAUUUGUUAUAGUAAUGCACAUUCACUGACAUUAGCCCUUUAGACAAAUAUCAGUAUGUUUAUGGUAGUUAUGUAGUGCUUUUAGCACAGAGAUAAGAUUAAUUAUUAAUGUGAUGUGUUAUGCCACGCAACUUCUGAGAGGAUGAUGGAGGUUUUGAUGGGAGUUUUUCAUUCAGUUUGACAUGCAAAAUACUGUCUCACCAUAUAAUUUGAUGUUACGCCUUAUCAUGUUUCAUCCAGUUUUGCCAGUCUGUUAAUUCAUGUCAGCUCAUACUCUCAUUGCAUAUGCCCUGCCACAUGAUAACAGUGUACCAGUGACAAAAAAAAGUAGUUGCUACAAUGUUACUGUGUCACGCCAUCUAAAAAAAAGAAUGAUAAUCCUGAAAAUCCUGAAGGAUCAUGUGACACUGAAGACUGGAGUAAUAGCUGCUGAAAAUUCAGCUUCGCCACCACAGGAAAUUAAAAUUACAUUUUAAAAUAUAUUCAAAUAUAAUUUUUUCAAAUAAUAUUUCAUAAUAUUAUUGUUUUACAAUAUCACUUUUUUCUCAAAUAAAUGGAUUCUUGGUGAGUGUAAGAAUCUAAAAAAAAAAAAACAUUUAAAAAAUCUUACUGACCCCAAUCUUUUGAACAAUUGUUUAAACAAAAUAAUAUUUUUAAAAAAUACUUAGAUUGGUUGUAAUUAACUUAUCCUUUUUUCCUCCAG
ensembl:lncRNA